rnacentral:rRNA from 1 species
GAUGAACGCUGGCGGCGUGCCUAAUACAUGCAAGUCGAGCGAACGGACGAGAAGCUUGCUUCUCUGAUGUUAGCGGCGGACGGGUGAGUAACACGUGGAUAACCUACCUAUAAGACUGGGAUAACUUCGGGAAACCGGAGCUAAUACCGGAUAAUAUUUUGAACCGCAUGGUUCAAAAGUGAAAGACGGUCUUGCUGUCACUUAUAGAUGGAUCCGCGCUGCAUUAGCUAGUUGGUAAGGUAACGGCUUACCAAGGCAACGAUGCAUAGCCGACCUGAGAGGGUGAUCGGACACACGGGAACUGAGACACGGUCCAGACUCCUACGGGAGGCAGCAGUAGGGAAUCUUCCGCAAGGGGCGAAAGCCUGACGGAGCAACGCCGCGUGAGUGAUGAAGGUCUUCGGAUCGUAAAACUCUGUUAUUAGGGAAGAACAUAUGUGUAAGUAACUGUGCACAUCUUGACGGUACCUAAUCAGAAAGCCACGGCUAACUACGUG